rnacentral:SRP_RNA from 1 species
GCCAGGCGUGGUGGCGCGCGCCUGUAAUCCCAGCUACUCAGGAGGCUGAGACAGGAGAAUUGCUUGAACCUGGGAGGUGGAGGUUGCAGUGAGCCAAGGUGGCACCACUGCACUCCAGCCUGGGGGAUAGAGCGAAACUCUGUCUCAA